GAUGAACGCUGGCGGCGUGCCUAAUACAUGCAAGUCGAGCGAACAGAUGAGGAGCUUGCUCCUCUGACGUUAGCGGCGGACGGGUGAGUAACACGUGGAUAACCUACCUAUAAGACUGGGAUAACUUCGGGAAACCGGAGCUAAUACCGGAUAAUAUAUUGAACCGCAUGGUUCAAUAGUGAAAGACGGUUUUGCUGUCACUUAUAGAUGGAUCCGCGCCGCAUUAGCUAGUUGGUAAGGUAACGGCUUACCAAGGCAACGAUGCGUAGCCGACCUGAGAGGGUGAUCGGCCACACUGGAACUGAGACACGGUCCAGACUCCUACGGGAGGCAGCAGUAGGGAAUCUUCCGCAAUGGGCGAAAGCCUGACGGAGCAACGCCGCGUGAGUGAUGAAGGUCUUCGGAUCGUAAAACUCUGUUAUUAGGGAAGAACAAAUGUGUAAGUAACUAUGCACGUCUUGACGGUACCUAAUCAGAAAGCCACGGCUAAC
rnacentral:rRNA from 1 species